GCAGGUGCAGUGGGCCUGCCUGCAUUCCAGCUACUUGGGAGGCUGAGGCAGGAGGAUCACUUGUUAGCCCCGGGAUUUCGGGACUAACAUGGGCAACAUAGUGAGAACCUGUCUCUU
rnacentral:sRNA from 1 species